CAGACCAAACCUUAUAAAUGCUGAUGAACAACUCUUAAGAUUUUUUUUUUCUCUCUUGUCACAGGAUCUGGCAUAAAUUCAGGGAGUAAUUGAAGAGUCUGUGAGGAUCUCAGAGUAAGGACAAAGAAAAUAUUGAGCUGAGCUCCCAGCUGACUCCUGAUGGACAUAGUGAAUGGCUUUCCACUGCAAUAACAAGGAAAAAGCAGAUUUAAAUAGAAGAGGAACAAAAGAAAAAUAAGGAACAAUUUAAGAUGCCCAACAUGCAACUACUGCUCUCUGCUUGUACCUUUUGGCCUCUAUCCACUCCCCUACUUCUCAGAAAACCAUUACAAAGAUGACAUCGACAUCAUUACCACACAGUGUGACCAGAAUUACAAAGGAAGAAUG